rnacentral:rRNA from 1 species
GGACUACUGGGGUUUCUAAUCCUUAUUGCUCCCCAAGCCUUCGUCCCUCAACGUCAGUUAUUAGAUAGAAAGUUGCCUUCGCCUUUAUCAGUCCUUUUGGUAUCAUAAAAUAUUAUCUCUACUCCAAAAGUUCUCCCUUUCUCCUAUAAAACUCUAGUAAAAAAGUAUCCCAUAAAGAUUUAAUUUACUGUCUAGGUACCCUUUAAACCUAAUAAAGAUGACUAACACUAGUCUUCUACGUAUUACCGCGGCUGCUGGCAC